GGCAGAUACAAAGCAUCUUGUCCCGUGAGUGUGUCUGAGAGAUGUUUGCAGACAGAAAUUGGGGAUAGGAGAUCAUCCCCAAGAGAAGUUCGAGAAAAUUCAGUUGCCAGGAAGUAACGAAAGGAACUUUUAAGUGUCUGGGAAGCACAGUAACUUUAGCUCUAGACGCUGUGGCUCUGCUUUCUAUUACUCUAAUCCCCUUAAGGCCUCACCUAUGUCCAAUACAUCUUUGGUAACUCCAAACCUAACCUAACAUAAUAACUUGGCAUAACGUAUAUUCAAUAAAUAUUUUCUGAGUUAAUAACA
rnacentral:lncRNA from 1 species